CAGCCGCCGCGGUAAUGCGAAGGGGGCUAGCGUUGUUCGGAAUUACUGGGCGUAAAGCGCACGUAGGCGGAUAUUUAAGUCAGGGGUGAAAUCCCAGAGCUCAACUCUGGAACUGCCUUUGAUACUGGGUAUCUUGAGUAUGGAAGAGGUGAGUGGAAUUCCGAGUGUAGAGGUGAAAUUCGUAGAUAUUCGGAGGAACACCAGUGGCGAAGGCGGCUCACUGGUCCAUUACUGACGCUGAGGUGCGAAAGCGUGGGGAGCAAACAGGAUUAGAUACCCCCGUAGUCCCUGUCUCUUAUAC
rnacentral:rRNA from 1 species